rnacentral:rRNA from 1 species
AGGACGAACGCUGGCGGCGUGCUUAACGCAUGCAAGUCGAGCGGUAAGGCUCCUUCGGGAGUACACGAGCGGCGAACGGGUGAGUAACACGUGAGCAAUCUGCCCUUCUCUUCGGAAUAACCAUUGGAAACGAUGGCUAAUGCCGAAUACGACCUCCUUUCGCAUGAUCGGAGGUGAAGCUCCGGCGGAGAAGGAUGAGCUCGCGGCCUAUCAGCUAGUUGGCGGGUAACGCCCACCAAGGCGACGACGGUAGCCGGCCUGAGGAGGGUCGACCGGCCACGACGUGGGACCUGGACGACCGACCGGCCCGAGACCUCCGUACGGGAGGCGAGCGAGGUGGGGAAUAGUUGGAACGAAGUGGGACGAAAGCC